rnacentral:rRNA from 1 species
UAAGAGCACACAGGUGGAUACCUUGGCACGACAGGCGAUGAAGGACGUAGCAGGCUGCGAAAAGCCCGGGGGAGCUGCCAACAAGCAAUGAUCCCGGGGUCUCCGAAUGGGGCAACCCACGUGUCGUCAUGGACACGUACUCCGCGAUGAAUACAAUAGUCGCGGUAGAGCAUACCCGGUGAACUGAAACAUCUAAGUAGCCGGAGGAAAAGACAUCAACCGAGAUUCCCGUAGUAGUGGCGAGCGAACCGGGAAGAGCCUAAACCGCACACGUGUAAGCGUAGGAGCGUUGCGUGACGCGGGGUUGCACGGCGAUUUUUCGAGCCUCCUACGGCUCGAGCUGAGUAAGAAAUCCGAUCGAUAGAAGAAGCCGGCUGGAAAGCCGCACCAAAGACGGUGAUAGUCCCGUAAUCGAAAUCGCUCGGACUCAGUUGAAUCGUUCGUAAGUAAGGCGGGGCACGAGAAACCCUGUCUGAAUCUGGGGGGACCAUCCUCCAAGGCUAAAUAUUCUGUCGUGACCGAUAGCGCAUAGUACCGUGAGGGAAAGGUGAAAAGAACCCCCGAAGGGGAGUGAAAUAGAACAUGAAACCGUGUGCUUACAAACCGUGAAAGGCCAAUGCGCAAGCAAGGCUAAUCGCGUGCCUAUUGAAGAAUGAACCUGCGAGUUACGUGGUACAGGCUUGGUUAAGGUGAUGAGCCGGAGCCGCAGCGAAAGCGAGUCUGAAUAGGGCGAUUCGUCUGUAUCAGUAGACCCGAAACCAAGCGAUCUAUCCAUGAGCAGGCUGAAGCAUGAUUAACCUCAUGUGGAGGGCCGAACCUGUUGUUGUUGAAAAAACAUUGGAUGACUUGUGGAUAGGGGUGAAAAGCCAAUCGAGCUUGGAGAUAGCUGGUUCUCCCCGAAAUAGUUUGAGGACUAGCGUUGCGUAUUAAACCUUGGGGGUAGAGCACUGACAGGGCUAGGGGCCUUACCGGGUUACCGAACCCCAUCAAACUCCGAAUACCAGGGCGUAUCGCGCAGCAGUCAGACGGUGGGGGAUAAGCUCCAUCGUCAAAAGGGAAACAGCCCAGAUCAUCAGCUAAGGUCCCUAAUCGAUGCUCAGUGGUAAAGGAAGUCGUGUCGCACAGACAACUAGGAGGUUGGCUUAGAAGCAGCCACCCUUGAAAGAGUGCGUAAUAGCUCACUAGUCGAGUGACGCGGCGCCGAAAAUGUAACGGGGCUCAAGCAUCGAACCGAAGCUAUGGGAUGUAGCAAUACAUCGGUAGGGGAGCGUUGUCGCGUAGGCCGAAGCCAGACCGUGAGGACUGGUGGACGAACGACAAGUGCGAAUGCAGGUAUAAGUAGCGAUAAAUGCGGGUGAGAACCCCGCACGCCGGAAGUCUAAGGUUUCCUGAGCUACGUCAAUCGUCUCAGGGUGAGUCGGGUCCUAAGCCGAGGCUGAGAAGCGUAGGCGAUGGCCAAGCCGUUCAUAUUCGGCUACCACCGACGUCAGUUUAGACUCUUCCGAACAGCGGCCGGCCUCGAGCGAUCGGGGUCCGUUCGGUGUUCGUGAGCGUCUAUGAAGUAAAGGGAUGACGCAGGAGGAUAGGUCAGCGCACCAUCGGAUGUGUGCGUCGAAGCAGGUAGGGGGUCAGAUAGGCAAAUCCGUCUGGCAACUCCGAGAUGCGAGUGCGAGACUCUUUACGAGUCGAAGUGAUCAACUCCACGCUGCCAAGAAAAGUCUCUAGCAAUGACAUAGGUGCCCGUACCGUACACCGACACAGGUAGACUGGCAGAGCAUGCUAAGGCGACGGGAGAACCCCUGUUAAGGAACUCGGCAAAUUAACCCCGUAACUUUGGGAGAAGGGGUGCCCCUUUUGGUCUAGUCUUUACGACGAAAGCUGAGGGGGGUCGCAGUGAAUAGGCCCAAGCGACUGUUUAACAAAAACACAGGUCUCUGCGAACGCGAAAGCGGACGUAUAGGGGCUGACUCCUGCCCGGUGCUGGAAGGUUAAAAGGAGAGGUCAGCGCAAGCGAAGCUUUGAAUUGAAGCCCCAGUAAACGGCGGCGGUAACUAUAACCGUCCUAAGGUAGCGAAAUUCCUUGUCGGGUAAGUUCCGACCUGCACGAAUGGAGUAACGACUUGGGCACUGUCUCGAUGGGGGGCCCGGCGAAAUUGCAGUACCAGUGAAGAUGCUGGUUACCCGCGGCAGGACGGAAAGACCCCAUGAAGCUUUACUGUAUCCUGAUGUUGGGUUUUGAGAUUUUCUGUACAGGAUAGGUGGGAGCCGAUGAUCCGUGGGCGCUAGCUUACGGGGAGGCAACCUUGGGAUACCACCCUGAAGAUCUUGGGAUUCUAACCUACAGCCAUUAUCUGGCUGGGAGACAGCGUCAGGUGGGCAGUUUGACUGGGGCGGUCGCCUNNCGAGCAGGUGCGAAAGCAGGGCUAAGUGAUCCGGCGGUACCGAAUGGAAGGGCCGUCGCUUAUCGGAUAAAAGCUACUCUGGGGAUAACAGGCUUAUCUCCCCCAAGAGUCAAGUAGGGCUCUCCGCGCAAGCGAUUGCGCGGCAAACUCAUUGCUCAUAUCGGUGGAACCCGCGAGCGUCGCGGGCAAUACCGAGGGAAGAACGAUCGCCGUCGCGAGACGGGCUAAACCCUAACGGGCAGGCCUCGCGGUUGUUCCCUGUAACGACUUCACACGAACGUGUGGGAUGGACGUGCUGCGCCGGCAAUGGCGCAAAUCUAUCGCGUCCAUAAUACGCAAUGCUCUCGAAAGAGAUGAAGGUAUAGUCUGCGCUGCAAGUGAUUGCAGAACGCCACAUCGACGGGGAGGUUUGGCACCUCGAUGUCGGAUCGUCGCAUCCUGGGGCUGUAGUAGGUCCCAAGGGUUGGGCUGUUCGCCCAUUAAAGCGGUACGCGAUCUGGGUUCAGAACGUCGUGAGACAGUUCGGUCCCUAUCCGCCGUGGGCGUAGGAGAUUUGAGGAGUGUCGACCCUAGUACGAGAGGACCGGGUUGAACGAACCGCUGGUGAACCGGUUGUCGUGCCAACGGCAUAGCCGGGUAGCUACGUUCGGAUCAGAUAAACGCUGAAAGCAUAUAAGCGUGAAACUGACUUCAAGAUGAGAUCUCAAUCUCGCAAGAGUGAAGGGUCGUGGGAGACUACCACGUUGAUAGGCCGGAGGUGGAAGGCGAGUAAUCGCUGCAGCUGACCGGUACUAAUCGCCCGGAAACUUAAUA